AGAUUGAACGCUGGCGGCAUGCCUAACACAUGCAAGUCGAACGGGAGUAGCAAUACUCUAGUGGCGGACGGGUGAGGAAUACGUAGGAAUUUGCCCUUAAGUGGGGGAUAACCCGGGGAAACCCGGAUUAAUACCGCAUGACCUCGAAAGAGCAAAGUGGGGGAUCGCAAGACCUCACGCUUUUGGAGAAGCCUACGUCGGAUUAGCUAGUUGGUGAGGUAACGGCUCACCAAGGCGACGAUCCGUAACUGGUCUGAGAGGAUGAUCAGUCACACCGGAACUGAGACACGGUCCGGACUCCGUACGGGAGCAGCAGUGGGGAAUAUUGGACAA
rnacentral:rRNA from 1 species